UACAGGGGGUGCAAACGUUGCUCGGAAUUAUUGGGCGUAAAGCGCGCGUAGGCGGCUACAUAAGUCGGAUGUGAAAGCCCCUGGCUUAACUGGGGAAGUGCACCCGAAACUGGGUAGCUAGAGUGCAAAAGAGGGUCGCGGAAUUCCCAGUGUAGAGGUGAAAUUCGUAGAUAUUGGGAGGAACACCGGUGGCGAAGGCGGCGACCUGGGUUGACACUGACGCUGAGGCGCGAAAGCGUGGGGAGCAAACAGG
rnacentral:rRNA from 1 species